rnacentral:rRNA from 1 species
UAGGGAAUCUUCCGCAAUGGACGCAAGUCUGACGGAGCAACGCCGCGUGAGUGAAGAAGGAUUUCGGUUCGUAAAACUCUGUUGUUAGAGAAGAACAGCGCAUAGAGAAACUGUUAUGCGUGUGACGGUAUCUAACCAGAAAGCCACGGCUAACUACGUGCCAGCAGCCGCGGUAAUACGUAGGUGGCAAGCGUUGUCCGGAUUUAUUGGGAGUAAAGCGAGCGCGGGCGGUCCAUUAAGUCUGAUGUGAAAGCCCCCGGCUCAACCGGGGAGGGUCAUUGGAAACUUGUUGACUUGAGUGCAGAAGAGGAUAGUGGAAUUCCAUGUGUAGCGGUGAAAUGCGUAGAUAUAUGGAGGACCACCAGUGGCGAAGGCGACUCUCUGGUCUGUAACUGACGCUGAGGCUCGAAAGCGUGGGUAUCAAACAGG